rnacentral:lncRNA from 1 species
UGUACUCAUCCAUGUAUUUGUUUCAACUGUAUUUUAUUUCAUAGAAACAAAUCUUAAUAGAAAUACUGCAUAAAUCUUUUGAUCCUACAAUAUUCAGAGCCUAUGUAUGCAUCACAAAAUUUGUUCACUUCCUAAUAUUUAUUUAUUUGACUGUAAGAAGAAAAUGGGAAGAAGGUAAUUUUGUGCAAUUCCGUAUAUGACUAUUAUUGUUCUAAUACACUCUCACAAAACUGCAAUAACAAAAUUUACAAAGAUAUACAGAAAACGAUGAAUAACAACACAGUUUACCUACCAGAAUACCUUGCGUCUUACGGUUACAACAUGAGCCAGAGAUCUAGAAGACAAUGCUCGCAGUUGGGUUCCGCAUUUCAUCAUUGAACGAAAUUCAUCAUAGCUGAUUCUACCAUCCUGUAUACACAAAUUAAAGGCGUGGGAAUUGACUUACAAUAAUGAAGACAAAUUACUAAUGCCCUUGAAACUGAAAAUCAACUUACUUUGUCUCUGUCAACUUCAGACAUUAUUUCUUUAAUUGUAGCAAUUGUGGCAUCAUCACCCAUGCCAUAAUCUUUGAAAGCUUUUCCGAGUUCAUCUACCGUGAUAUAUCUACAUAGCCAUUUAGAAUAAGUAAUUCGUCUUCCUCAGAGGCUGAAAUAGCGAUUCGAGUGCAAUUAAACCCCCAAGUUGCAAUGGCUAAGUGGCGAAGCUCUCUCUAGGCUUAACAUUUUAACAAAAUUGGGCAAAUCAAGAAAGGUUAAUUAUUGUGACGAGAAGAAAGACUUUCUAAUUUAUUAAGUGCCCGUUUGCUGCUGUGAUGAUGGUGAUUUUUGCCAAUGUCUUCUCUCUCGCCUCUCUGCAUUUUCCUUUUUUGAAUCAAAGGAGAUUCAUAGAAUAAAGCGUGUACUCAUCCAUGUAUUUGUUUCAACUGUAUUUUAUUUCAUAGAAACAAAUCUUAAUAGAAAUACUGCAUAAAUCUUUUGAUCCUACAAUAUUCAGAGCCUAUGUAUGCAUCACAAAAUUUGUUCACUUCCUAAUAUUUAUUUAUUUGACUGUAAGAAGAAAAUGGGAAGAAGGUAAUUUUGUGCAAUUCCGUAUAUGACUAUUAUUGUUCUAAUACACUCUCACAAAACUGCAAUAACAAAAUUUACAAAGAUAUACAGAAAACGAUGAAUAACAACACAGUUUACCUACCAGAAUACCUUGCGUCUUACGGUUACAACAUGAGCCAGAGAUCUAGAAGACAAUGCUCGCAGUUGGGUUCCGCAUUUCAUCAUUGAACGAAAUUCAUCAUAGCUGAUUCUACCAUCCUGUAAACACAAAUUAAAGGCGUGGGAAUUGGCUUGCAAUAAUGCAGACAAAUGACUAAUGCCCUCCAAAAAUAUAAAUCAACUUACUUUGUCUCUGUCAUCUUCAGACAUUAUUUCUUUAAUUGUGGCAAUUGUGGCAUCAUCACCCAUGCCAUCAUCUUUAAAAGCUUUUCCGAGUUCAUCUACCUGAUAUAUCUACAUAGCCAUUUAGAAUAAGAACUUCAUUAAUUAGUCUAGAUAUAACCCAUUCAAUUUAAGCAAGUUAAUGAAGGGCGUAUGUUUUUAAUAUCCCUCAUUCAAAUCAGGGAAAAGGACAUUCAAUCCCCCAACAUUUAAAAAAAGAGACAAAAAACCCCUCACCGUUUCAAAAAGAACUUAUAAUCCCCUUUCCAUUAACAAACACCGUUUGUUUUAAGAGUAAAUUUAUUUUUAAUUUUUAAUUACUAUUAUACAUUAUACCCUUAUAAUAAAUAAAUUAAUAUAUUAAUUUGAGAUAUAUCACAAUUAACAACUGUCAUCUAGCUAGCGUGGGUUGGAAUCGUUCUUUUAAGUUUUGACCAAAUCAAUAAAGUAUGGUUUUAAAAAAAAAAAACUCUCGAUUCCUUAAUCAAAUGUACAAUAAAUAUUAACUAAUUCACUAGCACUCAUCUCAAACCAAAAUAAACUAAUAAAAAAAUCAUUAAUUUUCAGCACCAAAACGAAGUAUCAGGACAAAUAAAAAACAACCCAGCCACCUACAUAUCCAAAACCCCAAAAAUCCAAAACUUAUAUACCAACAAGCCCAAAAAAAAGCCGUAUAAUUCUGGUUCAAUGUUUGAACAUAGAUUCUUUUCAUGAUAAUGAAAUCAUUUAUAUUUAUUUUUAUAAUAAAAAAUUACAAAAAAAUAAAAAAGAAAAUUAGCAACUGCAGUACGAUGAACAUGGAUAUUAACCAAAACUUCUUCCAAAGAACACGUGGAACUUUAUCUCUCACUAUAAGUGUCGCCGUCAAGUCAAUCUAGUGUAAUGGUUUUGAUUCCUCAAAGAAAAAAGGGUUUAAUCAAAUUUCGUUUUAUUAGUAAUAAUCACAUAUGAAAGGUUUGAUCAUUAGAAAGGUAUAAUUUAUAGCAAAUAAUUUGGGAAAAAAUGUAAUUGUAUCUCAAUUUUUAGUUUUAAAAAAAUUAUUAAUUGUGACAUUUCUCAAAUCAAUAUAUUAAUUUAUAUUUAUUAUAAGGGUAUAAUAGUAAUUAAAAAAAUAAAUUUACUAUUAAAACAAACGGUGUUUGUUAACGGAAAGGGGGUUAUAAGUCUUUUUUGAAACGUUGAGGAGUUUUUUUGUCCCUUUUCCUAAACGUUGGGGGGUUGAAUGUCAUUUUCCCUUCAAAUCAUGAUAAACCUGAGGAUCCAAAUACUAGUCAACAUGCUUCUACAGUAAUAAAAAUAAAAUGAGAAGCUUACCCGUUACUAGCCUUGUCAUUUUUCAGUGGUAGCUAUACCAUUUGUAUUAUUAAAUAGACCAAUAAAUUUUAACUUGCAGUAAUCAAAGCAGCAUAGAUAGAAUGAAUGAGAAAAAUUAAUAACAUGAGGAUCCAAUGCUUUAUACCUAGAACUUGAGCAGCAGUAAUCCGCCUUUUUGGAUCCAGUGUUAGCAUCCUGCGAACCAACUCUAUGGCACUGCUUGAUAUACUUGGAAAUGGAUCACGUUGGAAGUCAAUUUCUCCUUUUAAUAUAGCCAGAGCAACUCCCUGCUCCGUUUCUGCAGAGCACACAAAAAAUUCAGAGUGGUCAUAGUCACACUCUGUACUCUUAGUUGACGGUAAGAAAUACAAAAACGUUGUUGAAGUGAAAAGAGAUCGUGUAGGGUGCAAAAAGAAUAUUGAUUUUCACCUGCCCAAAAGGGAGGCACACCACACAAUAAAAUAUACAAUAUCACUCCUGCGCUCCAAAUGUCUGCUUCCUUCCCAUAACUUCGCUUUAAUACUUCGGGAGCCAUAUAGUAAGGACUCCCAACUAUUUCGUCGUAAGCCUUUCCUGGAAAAUGAAUCAUACGGUAAUAAAAAAAGGAUACAUUAAUAGCUCGAUUAAUCAAAUAUGCCUUCCUGGUGAUCCUAAGAGUUUUGUAUUAUUUUCUUAUGAUUUCACCUAAAUCAAUACAUUAAGUGAGUUACAGCUUACUCAAAUGAUAUGUAUCGGAAAAUUCUACAGGCAUGAAAGACUACUACAUGCAGUAAAAUCUAAACAUGGAAAAUGUGCAAGGAAGGUAGAGAAAUUUACUUUCUUCAAUGAACACUGAUAACCCAAAAUCAGCGGCCUUCAAAACAGCAUUCUCAUCCCCGGUAGUGAACAAGAAAUUCUCAGGUUUGAGAUCCCUGUGCAUAACACCCUUAGAGUGGCAAACAUUCACAACAUUCAUAAUUACCCUGAAUACAGAAGCCGCAGAUCUCUCGCUAUAAUGGCCCCUGGCUACAAUUCGAUCAAAUAGCUCACCACCAACACAUAAUUCCAUAACAAUAUGCACAAAUUGGUCAUCCUCAUAAGCAGCCUUGAAUUGGACUAUGUUGGGCUGCCCACUCAAAUAUUGCAUUACCUCAACCUCUCUUCUUACAUCAUCCUUAUAAUAAUCAUUUACCAGCUUUCUUUUAGGAAUAGACUUGCAAGCAAAUUCCAAACCGGUUGAAUUCUCAGUACAAAGAUAAGUUAUACCAAAUUCACCCCUACCCAAUUCUCUACCAAGAGUAUAAUGUAACUUAACAUCCUCAUAAGCUUUACAAAGAAUUGCAUCAUGGAGUUGGCGUGCUGCUGGGUAGUCUCCAUCUUGGCCUUUGUCAUGGAGUUGGCGUGCUGCUGGGUGGUCUGAGUCUUGGCCUUUGCUGAAAAUGCAACCCAUUUCUGGCCGCCACCAGCACAGAGGAUGCAAGACAGGACGGUGGGCAAUUUCAAAGAAUAUGCAGGACCCAGAUGUAUUCAACUACACAUCACAGUUCCUGCCUUUGAAUUGAUUCUUUAAAAUUUACAAUGAGAUUUGUUAGAAGAAGACCGCUGCGAAGGCAAUUCGACCGUCCUCUAUUAAAAACACUUUCUUUUUUAAUAUCCCAUUCAGACUUCGGAAGGAUGGAUUGUUUACAAUAAUUUGCUCGUAAAUUGCUGCACGCCCCCUGAUAUUUGGCUCAAUACCCCAUUGCCUCUCUACGUUUUGAAAAUACCUGCUUACCCCUGGCAUGUAAACUUUUGUACAGUUUGAUAAUUUUGCCUUUCUUUUGAGUUCUGGGUUCCAGAUCUGGUCUUGGGAUCAUUCGUUAUUAACAAGUUUGGAUAUCUUGGGUUUAAAAUAAUAACUGAAAUCGAAACCACGACAUGAAGUACCGAAUUAACUUGGAGAAAAAACUUAUCUCUGCAUGCUGCGCUAUUACCUCAUCAGGCUCUGCCAUUGGUUUUAUGGAAGCAUGCCAUAAUUUUAUUUAUUUGUUGAGUUUUAUUCAUAUAAUCACUAUAGAUUUCGAGACCAACAUGUUCUAUCAUUUGACAGAGUAAGCACAUAAAUACAAGUCUUUCUUACUAACUUAAUGGGAGGUAUCUGUUCUUUUCCUAAUCUUGGUUAAUUACAUCCCACUUACUCGAAUAAUUUACUAUAAACUCCUUUAAAAAUUUUAAAUUCAAACAAAUUAGAGUUUUUCGUAAUUAAUCAUUUAAGAACUCUCUAAUUCCUUUAGUAAUUUGCAUAAUUUUCAUUAUUUAAUUUCUCCUAUUGUCAGUUAGGUCCCUUGAAUUUUUUGACCGCUAGAGUUGAGUUCAAAUGAGAUCAAUUUGAUUAUUCUACCAUCAUAUGUAAAGGACAAAAUUCUCCUCAAAAUUAUUAUAACUUCCAAAACUUCUUUUUGUCUUUGUCUUUAUUGUAGUAGGAUUGUUAGAUUCAAUAUAAUCUAUUAUUAUUAUUAUUCUUUGCAAAGUUUUAUUCUAGGUUCAUUAAUUAAUUUUUGCGCUUCAUUUUCUUUGUAUUUCUGGCACUUCUCCAACACUUCAUCAAAUCUCAUGCUAGCUAGUUAGAAGUUAAAACUGUUCCAAGAACACUGGAAGCCUAUCAAGUAAAAUUAAAAUUAAGGUAAGUUACUAAUUUACCUAUUUCAUUAUUAAUAUUUAGAAAAUCGCAUUAUGCAAGAUUACAAGUUAUAAUUACAUCAUUAAAAUAUUAAGGCAGAGUAGCACAUGUUUUACGAGAAUUUUAUUCAUUUUAUAUCAUAAAGGUAAAAUAGAUAAAUUAACUUUAUAGAGUCAUAGAUGGCCAAUGACUAUUAAGUAGGAAAAAAAAAAGCACGUAUAACUUAAAUUAAUUAAUUUAUGAAUGAUCAAUUUAUAGAAUUUUUAAAGUGGGGGGUGUCUAGUGUUUAGGCAACAUGUGGGGGUUCCGCACUCUCCUUUUAUAUAUUUCAAUUCUAAUUUUUAUUAUCAUAAAAAAACAAAUACAGAUACCUUUGUAUAAAGCACGGCUUUAGGUACCACUGCCAGAAUAUCUUCCGUCUUAUGGCAACAACGUGAGCUAAAGGUCUCGAAGAUACUGCUUGCAGAUGGGUUCCGCUUUUCAUCAUCGCUCGAAAUUCAUCGUAGCUGAUCCUACCAUCCUAUAAUUAAACACAUAACACAUGACACAUGAGGCCGAGGCUUAGCUGAUCCUACCAUCCUACCAUCCUAUCAAAAAACAAGAACCAGAUUAACUACUUUAUCUCUAUCAACUUCAGACAUUAUUUCUUUUUUCAUUGCAAUCGUGACAUCAUCUCCCAUGUUAUAUCCUUUAAAAGCUGUUUCCAAUUCAUCGACUGUGAUAUAUCUGCACAGGCGUUCAUAAUGUAGAAGAACAAACUAAGUAAUUGCUUCAUCAAUGCAGUUCUGUCUGUAACCGAGGAUCAAAGUUUGCUAAAGAUGCUUCUACAUUCAUAGAAGUAUAUAAAAAAAUACUCACCCAGUAUUAUCCUUGUCAAAGUGUUGGAAAGCUUUAUAAAGACGUUCAAAUCUUUCUAGCUUGUGUCUUUGCAUCGUAGCAGUUAUAAAUUCAAUGUAAACGAUAGUCUUGUUUCCAUCUAUAUCAGCCUUUAGAAAUGCAUGGUCAGCAAUAUCAGCUGAGCAUAUAAUGCAAAUAGACAGACAAUAGGAUGAAUUCAGAGCUCAUGAAUUCCUUACGGCUUGCAUGCACUGCUGACUUCGGUUUUUGUAAGCAUCUAUUCAGGUUUAGCUAAUCCUGCUUUCAAUUCAUCAUAAGUAAGCCAUUGUUGUCAGUGUCCUUCUCCGUUAAUUUUUCCUUGAGUUUUCAUAUUUCUUCGGUUGGAAGACUUCGCACAAUGACCUAUAUAUAUAUAUUAAUUUGAAAUGAACCCGGCACAGGUUGUCAGUAGGCAAAAGCACAAUAAAACAGAUGAAUCAUCGGACUUGCUCAUAUAUAUAUACACACACACUUUAUAUUUAUAGACACCCUACAAUUAAGCAUUUUUUAUCAGGAAGUGUAGACGCAGAAAUUCAAUCAAAUAUAUACCACAUGAUUCUAACUGCCAUAUAAAUUCUAUUAUAAUGUUUACAAUACAAUGUUCUCAUGAACAUAUCUAGAUUUCCAUAUUUGAUUUAGAUCCUCUACUAAUCUGACAUUACCUAUACGUUGUCAUGUUAACGAAUAACGUGACAUGUCUAUAUCAAUUAUUACUUAAGGCGUGGUCAAGAUCUGUUCUUUUAUCAUCUCACUUAUUUGUCACACCUCGUAUUAGCAGAUGAAAAUAAGCUCAUUGUAGAAGAAUCCUGAACUUUAGACUUACCUUUAGUGCUAGUUUUUUUAGUUUGUUCAUUGCUCGAAAUUGCUUUACCCUGAAAAUGACAGCACCGUCGAUUGGCUUGUCUGAUGCUUCUCCACUUUCUUUAAGCCAAGGGUGCUCUGCACAUACAUCUUUCAUACAGUUUUCAAUGUUCUAUACUACUGGUACUAUUAAAUGGACUAUAUACAUAUAUAUAUACAUCAAAACAUCAUAGGUAAGAAAUACUGAUAACUUCAGGAUCUACUGCUUUCAACCUAGAACUUGAGCAGCAGUAAUCCAUUUUUUUUUUUUUUGUUUCCUUGUCAGCAUCUUGUGAACCAACUACUUGGCACCACUUGAAAAAGUUGGCCGAGGAUUAAUUUUUAAGUCAAGUUUUCCUUGCAAAAUAGCAUCAUAAAUUCCCUUCUCAGUUUCUGCAAGGAUACUUCAUCAAAAGUGAGUGAUUAUAUUAAAUUUCCAAUACUUUUAAGUCAAAAGAAAUAAGCAUAUACAGGGGAAAAGAGAUCAUGUAGUGUGCAAACUGCAAAAUGCAUAUUUUUACCUGCCCAAAAUGGAGGUACACCAGAUAGUAAAACAUACAAUAUAACUCCUGCACUCCCAAGUCUAUUCCUCUAACCUUUCCUAGAAAGUUUACCAAGGCAUAAUCAGAUUAAGAAUGUCAAUGCCUAAAUUAAAAAUGCCUUUUUCUACACAAGCCACAAAAUGCUGCCAAACAUACCACAAACAUAAACAAUCCAUGUUUAUGCACGAACAUGAAAUACAAACUUUCUGUACAAUUAAGAUUAGAACAAUUUAAAAUUUUAUAAAAAGAUCGAAAAUUGAUAUUUCAUGAUCAAGGGCCACCCUUAGCCGUCUAAACGUAGUGUAGAGCUUUGGUUGGUCUAAUUAUCUUAUCAAACCAAAGACUCUGCCCAAGAUCUUGAAUAAGAUCAACACAAGUUGCACAGGCAGAGAAUCAAAUCUGAAUCAACUCAACCAUCAAUUAACCAGACUUAAACACUCAAGAAAUAGAAUCAAGACGAAAGAUAAAGAUGAAUCAGAAACAAAAACACAGAGAAAGCAAGAGAUAACGUGGUUCAGUCUUUUUCAAGACCUACAGAGAUAACGUGGUUCAGUCUUUUUCAAGACCUACAGAGAUAACGUGGUUCAGUCUUUUUCAAGACCUACAGAGAUAACGUGGUUCAGUCUUUUUCAAGACCUACAGAGAUAACGUGGUUCAGUCUUUUUCAAGACCUACAGAGAUAACGUGGUUCAGUCUUUUUCAAGACCUACAGAGAUAACGUGGUUCAGUCUUUUUCAAGACCUACACCAACGAGUGAAAACAUCAGAGCUUGUUUUGAUUGAUUCAUGAAGAAAAAUUAUAAGCAUUCAGAGAUGUGUUUACAGAGCACAAGAAUCAACUUUCUCUCUACUGGAAAACUCUCUAGAAUACUCUCGAAUCUCGCGUGAAAUGAGCUGGUGAACCAGCUUUAUAUUACGGAUGAAAAACAAACUUUGAACCCAGAAUGCACAGCUGCUUCCCACGUGUCCAGGCCAGACGAGCUUCAAGCGAGCACGUGACUUGGCACGAGCAACUUCGUUAAUACCGUUAUCAGUAAAACGCAAGUCUAAGCGUCGUUUCACUUAUAGAGGUCACGAGCUUCCUCACGUGGCUUCAUAACGAAACAGUUUCGUUGCUCCAUACGCUGUCGUUUUUGCUCUGGAUUGCUCUACACGUAGAUUUUGAAACUGUUUCUUUGGUGCAUUUAAAUUAUCAAGGAAUUAAUAAAGUGUUAGCUCCACUGGCAAUGAAGUCCCUUUCAGUGGUUUGAUUGGGUUUGCUCCCCAGUUUGAGUCGCAGGGAAGUCAUCUUUGUUGGGAGAACUUGUGCCUCCCGGUUCGAGCGGGGACUUCUAGUCUGAGUUGUGGUACGGGCUUAAAGGUGUCUCCCACAGUUGAGGUGCUCCCCAAGAUACCUCGUGGUUAAGACCAAAAAAAAAAAAAAAUUAUCAAGGGAAAUGAUUAAUUGCAUAGUGAAGUACAAGAAAAUUUACGCUUUUCAAAGAAUGACGCCAACCCAAAAUCAAUGACCUUCAAGCGAGCAUUCUCAUCCUUGCUAGUGAACAAGAAAUUCUCAGGUUUGAGAUGCAUGUGCAUAACACCCUUAGGUCGGCAGACGUUCACUUUAUUCACAAUAUCCGUAAAUACCAAUGCUGCAGCUCUCUCACUAUUGUGCCCCUUGGCUAUAAUCCGAUCAAAUAGCUCACCACCAGCACAGUACUCCAUAGCAAUAUGCACAAAAUGCCUAUCCUCAUAAACACACUUAAAGUCAACAAUGCUAGGCUGCCCACGCUCAAAUGUUGCAUUAUAUGAAUCUCUCUUUUGAUAUCAUCCUUAUCAUUCUUAGUCACAGUUUCCUCUUAGCAAUUGACUUGCAAGCAAAUUGCCUGCCGGUCGAAUUCUCCAUACAUAAAUAAGUAACACCAAAUUGACCCCUACCUAACUUUUUACCAAGAUUAUAGAAUAACCUAACAUCAUCAUAAGCUUUACCAAGAAUUGCAUCUGAAGUCUUAGAUAGUGGUUUUGGGCUUAACAAUUGAGCUUCAGGCGCUACAGGCUCUUGGUUUCUAUGAUCACGAAGAACGCCUGUAUUUGCUUGUGAUGUGCUGCCAUAACAUAAUCUUGUGGUUUUGAGUGUUGAAUUUUGGUUAAAACACUACCUAUUUCUUUUUACCACCUAGAAAUCGAUAGACUGCUGAACUGUUUAUGAUGUUCAUGGAAAACGAGACCUUGAGUAUUUUAUUAUAGGAUGAGAUGCAUAGUGAAAAAGCACAGAUAACAAAACAGAAACUGCAGGAUGUGUAAUUCAGAUGAAGAUACAACAUGAAUUACAAAUGAAUACAAAAGGGCAAGUGGAUUUUUUCGGUUUCAGAGUUGAGGUUUGUGGGGAAGGUCCGCUACUCUUGGAAUAAUGGACUGUAAACAACAUGAAAUACUUUUUGGUCAGACUCACAAUUAGUCAAUUAUUUAUGUCGCUUUUAUCAUUUGAUUCCUUGUUGUUUCUCAAUAUAAAUUCAUGAGCCAAAAUUUUCAGAUAUAAUUCACUUAGGCCAUGUUUGGCAUGCCUCAUUAUAUUAUAUUAGAGCUGUGCAUUGUAUUAAAAUAUUACUAUACAAUGUUUGGCACUUAUCCGGUAUUGUAUUAAAAAAAAGAAAAAAGAAUGUGGGAAAACCCACAUAUUUGAAAUCUGGUUGAGACUCGAGUUCAUACCACAUUGUAUUAAUGUUGUAUUUACUAAUCCGGAAUGAGAAUCAGAAUGGAAGAAUUAGAAAGAAUAACAUGUUUACUUGUUAAAUUAAGGUUGGGAAUGAAAAUGAAUUUCGUGGGCCCCACAUAAAUUUUGGAUUGAUCGCUAGAGUUGUGAUUCUCGGAGGGGGUUGGCAAUGAGAACCUCAUUUCUUGGAAUGACAAAAUUAUCUCCACUACACUAUUAAUAUACCCAGGAUACCCUCUUUGGAAAUUAAAAAAUAUAAAUUGAAAGAAGACAAAACUGAAAAAUUUAUUAUGAUAACGGAAUUCAUUUUAUUAUUAGUAUUAUUGUUGUUGUUGUUGUUAUUAGUGUUAUUAAUUUAUUAACAAUUACUAUUAUUUAUUUUAUUUUAUUAGUUUUAUUAUCAUCAUCAUCAUCAAAUGACAAUAGUUAACAAAGGGUAUUUUAAUAAAUUAUUAAUGAUAUUAUUUUUAUUUUAUUAUUAUUAACAAUCAUUUUUAUGAUAAUAAAAAUCAGAAAUAAUAAUGAUGAUGAUGAUAAUAGUAGUGGUUAUAAUUAACUUAGAACAUUUCAGUAACUUGAAAAAAUUAAAGUUAUUCUAAUUCUGAUUCUAAGAUAAAAUAAACACAUCAAUGGAAUUCUAACUCAUUAUGAUUUCGAUUUAUACAGCUCAAGUAAACAACUUAUUCUAAUUCUUAUUCUUCAUUCUCAUUCCAACAUAUUCUCAUUACAGAAAAUUCUGAUUACUGAUAAGUAAACGCAGCAUAAAUCCUUUUACCCUCUUCUUCUUCUUCGUCUUCUUUGUUUUUCUCACUUUUUUUCUUUAUUUUUGAUCAUGCCCUCUUCUUUUUUGUCUCCUCUGUUUCUCUCUCUUUUUUCUUUUAUUUUUCUCCUUUUCUUCUUCGUCUUCUCUGAUUCUCUCUCUCUCUCUCUCUUCUUCUUCUUAUUGGUAAUUAAAUUUGAGUUUACAAUUUAGUUCAAAAAAAUAAUUGUUUUCAUCUUUCAUCAAUAAGACUUGUAUAUAAAAAUUAAUUAUCUAUAAGAAUUAUAAAUCAAUUAAUGGAGGGUAAAAUCAUUAAUUUAAUUUAUAAUAUUUAAAUAUGUUAAUUUUAUUAGAGUUAGAGUGUCACUUGUGUGUUUAUUUUUAAAACAUUUAUUGCUUUUUUAAUAAAUGUCGAAAUAAGUGUCAUUUAGGUGAUAUUAACCUUAUUUUUUAGCACUUCUAUUAAUUUUUUUUUAAUUUUAGACUUUUUAUAUUUGAUAUUUUUCUAAAUAUUUUGAAAUUAUUUUCUAAAUAUAUAAUGUAAAUUAAUUACCAAAGAAACUUAGCUUCACGCAACGUAUGUAAAUAUAAGAUUUCAAAUACAAACAUGUACGUGGUGCCUAUAACGGAAACGAUAAGUAUUAAGUAAUAUAUACAGUGAAGAAAUUUACCCUCUUCAAUGAACACUGAUAACCCAAAAUCAGUGGCCAUCAAAACAUCAUUCUCAUCCCUGGUAGUGAACAAGAAAUUCUCAGGUUUGAGAUCCCUAUGCAUAACACCCUUAGAGUGGCAAACAUUCACAACAUUCAUAAUUACCCUGAAUACAGAAGCCGCAUCUCUCUCACUAUAAUGGCCCCUGGCUAUAAUUCGGUCAAAUAGCUCACCACCAGCACAUAACUCCAUAACAAUAUGCACAUAAUGCAUGUCCUCAUAAGCACCUUUAAAUUGAACUAUAUUAGGCUGCCUACUCAAAUGUCGCAUUAUCUCAAUCUCUCUUCUUAUGUCAUCCUUUUCAUACGCCGCCACAAUUUUUUUCUUAGAGAUAAACUUGCAAGCAAAUUGCAAACCGGUUGAAUUCUCAGUACAAAGAUAUGUAACAGCAAAUGCUCCCUUACCCAGUUCUUUCCCAAUAGUGUAAUGCAACCUGACAUCUUUGUACGGUUUACCAAGAAUUGCACCGUCUAGUUUACAGAUGUAUUUGGGAGUGUGGUAAGGUAGUUGUGCUAGUAUUAAAGUGUUUGGUAACACUUGUAGUUGGGCUUUGACAGCUUAAGAGAUUUUUUUUCCCAGCUGUAGGUUAAAUUACUAAAUUAGUCUUAUAUAUUAUUCAAUUUCAAUUUUAUCCUCAUUUUUAAUCUUCAUUUCAAAUCAAUUUUUUUUUUAUGAAACAAACCCUAAACGCUCAUUCUCAUCAGUAUGGUUCUGACUCUGGCAGUUCUAAUUGAUGCAAUUCUAACACCGAUAAUUCUCAUCGACGCGAUUUCGACACCGGCCACUCUCAUACGCCUCUGUCAGUGGUGCAUUUUCCUUUACCCCUUGUUCAUUUUUGAAUGCUCCUUUGCUCUAUUACAUGCAAUUUUUCAUUUUCUUCCUUUUUGUUCAUAAUAUUUUGGGGGCUUGUGCAGAAUAAAUUGAUGGGUGAUGGGUCAUGCCUGAUUUAUUUACUUGUACCCACCGUUUUUAUUGUAGUAGUUGCUUUUUGUAGACACACACAUCCCUUGUUUGAUGAAAUUCCCAUGAUAAAAAUCCAUCUCAAAUUUAUUUGAGCAGAGUUCAUGUUUUGAUAUUGUAACAAGUUUCAAUUUUGUUUAUAUUUACAUGUAGAAAUUGUAAUAUAUAGUAUGCACAUAUGAGUGGUAUAGGUUGUGUUAGAUAUGAAGCUCAAAAUCUGAACUUGAGACUGUAUACGACAAGUCAACUUAAACCUUGCAUUGGGUAUGACAUGUCAGCUGCAGGAGUUCAGGGAGCUGUAUGACAUUCUUACUUUGUCGGUAAAAUAAGUAAGUGACUCACGUGAUGAAACACGUGCAUCACUUACUCAAAACGACAGAGGUGAAUACCGCUUUGUACUCAGGAGCUUAAGAAGAUGAAACACGUGGCUACCAGAGGUUCAAAAGGCCGUUAAAGGCUGUUAUCACGCGGACAAAAGACUGGGUUUGUUAUGAACAAACCCAGGUGGCGUUAGCAGUUGACUGAUGAAGGGUCCUUCUAGAUCAUUUCCUUACUAUAUAUAUAGCUCUAUGAUGAGAUCUUGUGUAGCGUGAUUUUGUACUAUUUUCUCAAGAACUUUGUAUCUUUAAUAAGCUCUGAUAAUGGACCUCUUCUUCUCCUUCACAGUGGAUGUAUGCUCACCUUGUGGCCGAACCACUAUAAAUCACUGGUGUCAAGUGUGUGUACUUUUUUUUUCUAUUUUCUUUGAGUUGCUUGAGUGAAUUAUCACUUUAUUCAUUAGCCAAUAAAACUAAGUAGAUUCUGAAAUCUUGAGCAAAUAAAGGUGGAUCUUGGGAGAACUAAAUCGGCGACAAAUUGGUUAAGUUCUAACAAAUUGGUAUCAGAGCCAGUCCACUGAAUUCUUGAUCUCAGAAUGGCUGCACCAAAGCUUGAGGUAGAGAAAUUUUCAUGUGAAAAUGAUUUUCACCUGUGGAGGCUUAAAAUGAAGGCCUUGCUGGUACAUAAAGGUCUAGAUGUAGCACUUGGGGAGGUUUCAUCAUCCAAGAAACCAAGAAAAAUUGCUAAUGAAGAUUUACCAUAUGUACUGGACAGAGCUCAUAGUGCAAUAAUUCUAAGCCUUGGAGAUGGUGUACUCAGAGAGGUUGGUGGUGAAAAGACAGCAGCAAGUCUGCGGAAAAAGCUUGAGGAUCUCUACACCAAGAAAUCAAUGGCCAAACGUCUAGCCACAAAGAAGAAGCUUUAUACCCUUCAGAUGGAAUAUGGGUCUUCAAUCACUGAUCACAUUGAUGCUUUCAACAAGAUCAUACUAGAUCUUGAAGACAUUAAUGUGAAAACUGAUCACAUUGAUGCUUUCAACAAGAUCAUACUAGAUCUUGAAGACAUUAAUGUGAAAAUUGAUGAUGAAGACAAAGCUAUGAUCCUGCUUUGUUCACUACCAAGCUCAUAUGGACAUUUAGUUGACACACUUAUGUGUGGAAGGCAAACUCUUACCAUGGUAGAUGUAAAGGAGAAUCUGAGUUCCAAGGCUGCAAUAAAGAAAGAAUCCAGAGAUGGAUAAGGCUUGACAGUAAGAGGAAUGACUGAAAAAAGAGAAGAGAACACGGGAAAGAAGAAAAGAUCCAAAUCAAAAUCAAGGAAAUGUUUUCAGUGUCAUAAGGAGGGUCAUUUCAAAAGAGAUUGUCCUGAGAAGAAAUACAAGAAUAAAGAUGCAAAAGAGAAGAGUGGAGAUGCUGUUGUUGCAUCAGAAUUCGAGGGAUCUGAUGGCUAUGACUCAGCUGGAGUUCUAAUAGCAACUGAUGGUCAAACUAGAGGUAAUUGAGUUCUAGAUUCUGGUUGUUCCUUUCACAUGUGCCCUAAUAAGAGUCUAUUCAUGAACUAUGAGGCCUAUGAUGGUGGAAUAAUUGUAAUGGGUAAUGAUACUAGCUGUAAGGUAGUUGGCAGGGGUUUAAUUAGGCUGAAAAUGUUUGAUGGCAUGAUUAGGGAACUAAGGGAUGUUAAAUAUGUUCCUAAAUUAAAAAGAAACUUUAUUUCUCUUGGGAUGCUUGAUAAAAUGAGAUGUCUAGUUAAACUUGAAUCAGACAUUUUAAAGGUUAUGAAAGGGUCAAUGGUUGUGAUGAAGGAGAACAUGAGCAAUGGCCUGUAUGUGCUUCAGGGUUCAGCUGUAACAAGUGAAGUUGCUGUGACAAAUCAGAAUAUAGACAAAUCUAUGUUGUGGCAUAUGAGGUUAGGCCAUAUGAGUGAAAGGGGCUUAAAAGAACUGACAACAUGGAGUUCUAGGUGUAGACAAGAUAAAGCCUUUGAGGUUCUGUGAAAAACGUGUCCUAGGAAAGUCUUCAAGGGUAAAAUUUAGUACUAGUAUCCAUAACUCAAAGGGAACUCUAGACUACAUUCAUGUUGAUCUGUGGGGGCCAGCACAGACAAUUUCACUAGGUGGGGUAAAAUAUUUCUUAUCUCUCAUUCAUGAUUUUUCUAGAAUGGUUUGGGUAUAUAUGUUAAAAACCAAGGAUGAUGCAUUUGAUCAGUUUAAAGCUUGGAAGACACUGGUAGAAACUCAAACAAAUAGGGAAGUCAAUAGGCUAAGGACUGAUAACGGGCUAGAAUUUUGUAAUAAGAACUUUGAUGAUUGUUGUAUUGAAAAUGGUAUCAUGAGGCAUAAAACAGUUAGGCAUACCCCUCAACAUAAUGGAUUAGCAGAAAUGAUGAAUAUGACUUUGGUUGACAAAGUGAGAUGCAUGUUAAUACACUCAAAACUGUCAAAGGCUCUAUGGGCAGAAACUUUAUCUACAACCUGUUACAUUGUAAACAGAAGUCCUUCUUCUGGAAUCAACUUUAAAACUCCAAUUGAAUUGUGGUCUGGUAAACCAGCAGACUAUUCCAAUUUAAGGGUGUUUGGCUGCCCUGCAUUUGCACACAUUAAGCAGGGGAAACUAGAACCUAGAGCCUUGAAUGGUGUAUUUUUAGGCUAUCCAGAUGAGGUGAAGGGAUUUGAACUCUGGUGUACUGAUUUGAAACCACCAAGAGCUAUUAUCAGUAGGGAUGUUGUAUUUAAUGAAGCUGAAAUGCUUCAAAAUACAACACAGCCAAAAACUAUGAUCAUUAAGCUUGGAGACAGAAACCAGAAGUUUCACUUUGAGGUGGAGCUCUCAACUUCUAAUGCAAGACAUGAACCAAGAGUUGAACCUGAGUCAGAAUCGGAUAUGCAGAUUCCUGAGUCUAUACCUAACUUAGUAGGUGAUAAGGAAGUAAGGGAUUAUCAGUUCGUGAGAGACAGAGAAAAAAGGGUUAUAAAGCCACCAAAGAGAUAUGCUUAUGCAGACCCUAUUGCAUUUGCAUUGACAGUAGCACAUGAAGUUGAACCUGAUGAACCAAGAACUUAUUCAGAAGCUGUUAAGAGUAAUAAGUCAAAAGGAGUGGAAACAAGCUAUGGAUAAGGAAAUGCAAUCAUUGAUAAAAAACCAGACAUGGGAGCUGAUUGAAAAACCAGCAAAUAAGAGGGUAGUGGGCUGUAAAUGGGUUUAUAAGAUUAAAGAAUGGAUACUAGGUGUUGAAUCUCAAAGGUAUAAAGUUAGGCUUGUUGCCAAAGGCUUUACACAGAAAGAGGGUAUUGACUUCACAGAGGUGUUUUCUCUAAUAGUCAGACACUUAUCCUUAAGAAUCUUAUUAGCACUUGUAGUUGUCAAAGACAUGCACCUUGAGCAGAUGGAUGUCAAGACUGCCUUCCUUCAUGGUGAAUUUGAUGAAAUGAUUGUAAUGGCUCAACCAGAAGGCUAUGUGAAUCCAGAAAAGGCUGAUUAUGCUUGUCAUCUAAAAAAGCCACUAUAUGGGCUUAAACAAUCUCCAAGGCUGUGGUAUUUGAGAUUUGACAAGUUUAUGUCAGAACAUGGUUUCCAAAGAAGUAGUUUUGACUGCUGUGUAUAUUUCAAAUAGGUGGAGGAUGACACCAAGAUUUAUCUGCUGUUAUACGUUGAUGAUAUGUUGAUUGCAUGUUAAAACAUGGAGCAAAUAAAUGUCCUUGAACAACAACUGAGAGAAGUCUUUGAAAUGAAGGAUUUAAGAGCAGCAAAGAAAAUACUUGGGGUAGAAAUAAUCAGAGAUAAAAAGCAGGGUAUCCUAUACUUAACUCAACAGAAAUGCAUCAGGAAAGUACUCGAGAAGUUUGGGAUGGGGAGCUCAAAGCCUGUCCAAACACCACUACCAGCUCAUUUUAGACUCUCAAGUCAGCAGUGCCCAAAAACUGAAGAAGAGAUGACUGAAAUAAACAUGGUUCCUUACUCAAGUGUUGUUGGGUGCCUAAUGUAUGCAAUGGUUCUAACCAGGCCAGAUAUAUCUUAUGCAGUAAGUGUGGUAAGCAAAUAUAUGGCAAACCCUGGACAAGAACAUUGGAAAGUUGUGAUAUGGGUGCUGAGAUACCUAAAGGGCACAUCUGAUUAUGGUCUGGUCUAUGGAAUCAGAAAAUAAGAGGAAGUCAUAGUUGAAGGCUUUGUAGAUGCUGAUUUUGCUGGGGAUCUGGAUAAGAAAAGGUCCUCGACAGGUUACAUAUUUACUCUAAAUGGCUGUACUGUCAAUUGGAAAGCCACAUUGAAGAAUGUUGUAGCAUUAUCAAUAAUUGAAGCAGAGUACACUGCAGCAGCAGAAGCUGUUAAAGAAUCAAUAUGGCUUAGAGGAAUGGUAACUGAACUGGGAUUCAAACAAGAGCAGGUGUUGGUUCAUUGUGACAAUCACAGUGCUAUUUGUUUGAGUAAAAAUCAAGUCCAUCACGAAAGAACUAAACACAUAGAUAUCAAGCUUCAUUUUCUGAGACUAGAGGUAUCAAAAGGAGUGGUGAAGUUAGAGAAAAUUCACACUGAUGAUAACCUUGUAGACUUCCUAACCAAGGCUGUUCCAGGUGCCAAGUUUGAGUUAUGUUUGAACUCAGCUGGGAUCUGCAAGAUAUAGAUUGCAGAUGUAAAGUGAUGGUGAGGAAGGGGAGCAGCAGAUUUGAGUUUAAGGUGGAGAAUGUUAGAUAUGAAGCUCAAAAUCUGAACUUGAGACUGUAUACGACAAGUCAACUUAAACCUUGCAUUGGGUAUGACAUGUCAGCUGCAGGAGUUCAGGGAGCUGUAUGACAUUCUUACUUUGUCGGUAAAAUAAGUAAGUGACUCACGUGAUGAAACACGUGCAUCACUUACUCAAAACGACAGAGGUGAAUACCGCUUUGUACUCAGGAGCUUAAGAAGAUGAAACACGUGGCUACCAGAGAUGCAAAAAGUCGUUAAAGCUUGUUAUCACACGGGCAAAAGACUGGGUUUGUUAUGAACAAACCCAAGUGGCGUUAGCAGUUGACUGAUGAAGGGUCCUUCUAGAUCAUUUCCUUACUAUAUAUAUAGCCCUAUGAUGAGAUCUUGUGUAGCGUGAUUUUGUACUAUCUUCUCAAGAACUUUGUAUCUUUAAUAAGCUCUGAUAGUGAAACUCUUCUUCUCCUUCACAGUGGAUGUAGGCUCACCUUGUGGCCGAACCACUAUAAAUCACUGGUGUCAAGUGUGUGUACUUUCUUUUCUGUUUUCUUUGAGUUGCUUGAGUGAAUUACCACUUAUUCAUUAGCCAAUAAAACUAAGUAAAUUCUGAAAUCUUGAGCAAAUAAAGGUGGAUCUUGGGAGAAUUAAAUCGGUGACAAAUUGGUUAAGUUCUAACAGAUUGUUUUCUUAAGGUUUAAAAAUAAUGUUAUUUAAAAUUAAUUAUUACAAAUAUUCAUCGACUCCAUACCUAUUAAAAUUUAACAAACACUAAUAACAACUGCAAUUUAAAAGUUACAACACCUUUAUAAAAAACCAUCAGCUUCUACUCCAUAGUUAUAACUUUUACUCUAUAACAAUUGCAACUUAAAAGAUACAAUACUGCACUUCCAAACGCACCCUAAGUGGUGGCUGCUGUCGCGCUGCUGCAGGGUUUGAGGAGGCUGGGCUUUUGCUUAAACAGCAACCCAUUUCUGCAUAAGAGGCUCAGCUCAAGCUCAACUCUGGAUGCUGGAUCUUUACAAAAGUAAACUGGAACAGAUCCAGUUGAGAUCAAACAUAAAUUAUAGGGAAUCAAAUGAGAUUUUGAGGAAAAGCAAAAUAAAAUAUAAAGAAUGAUUCCAGCUUGCCCACUUGGGAGGCACCAACUGUAUAUUUGUAUGCGCAUAUAUAUUUAACUAUCAAACUAUACGUCAAUAUAGUUAAAAUUUAUGGGCCUUUUUUUUUUUUUUUGGUAAGAAAUUUAUUGGCUUUUGUUGGAAAUGGUCAGCGAAAAAGAAACGCGUGGGAUAGGAUAGAAGUUUGAAUAAAUGAUGAGGUUGUAAAUAAUGUCUUUAGGACAGAAAUUUGAUAUUAAAAUUGGAAUUAUGGAACCUUCCCCAUGACACGAACAAUGAAUAACAAAGAUUCCGUUCAUAUUUUUAUUCUCUCCAUAAAUUAAAAAAAAAUUAAUAAGUUAAAUAAUAUCUUUCAAGUUCCAACUUUCAGAAGUUGCGUUACACUUUAAAAGUUCAAAUAUACACGCAGCCCACAUAAUUCAUUAUUUUUAUUAAAUUUUUUUUAUAAAUAGUACUAAAAUUAAUAUUAUCAAUGAAAAAUUUCUAACAGAUUAAUAAUAUGAAGAUAAUUGUAUUUAAUAUUUAAAAUAAUUCGUAAAAAUGCAUAUUUUUUUCGUUUAUCAUGGCCCAAUUAUUGGAAAAGUCAUCACUCCACCCCCACGUCAUUAGCUUUUUGUUUUUUUUCCUUUAAGGUCAAACCAUAGUUGACCGAUGAAUGUACUCCUAAUAUUAUCAACUAUUUGUAAAAAGACAAAAAUAACCUUAGAUUUGCAAAUAAUUUAAUGCAAACAAUUUUGUAUUUUUUUUUAAAGGCCUUUUCUCUCUUUGCUGUUCCCCUCUCCAUCUCUGAACAAGGUCGAAGCUUGAAGAAAUUGAUUGAUAAAAAGAGCGAGUUUUCAAAGCUGUUGAAGGAUCACUGCCGUUUACAAUUUUGGUUAUGUUAACACACUGACCCACAGGCAUUGUCCUCUAAUUCGUCUUCCUCAGAGGCUGAAAUGGCGAUUCGAGUGCAAUGAAAACCCCCAAGUUGCAAUGGCGAAGUGACGAAGCUCUCUCUAGGCAUAACAUUUUAACAAAACUGGGCAAAUCAAGAAAGGUUAAUUAUUGUGACGAGAAGAAAGACUUUCUAAUUUAUUAAGUGCCCGUUUGCUGCUGUGAUGGUGGUGAUUUGCCAAUGUCUUCCCUCUCGCCUCUCUGCAUUUUCCUUUUUUCAUCAAAGGAAAUUCAUGGAAUAAAGCGUAUAGUUUGUUUCAACUGUAUUUUUUCAUAGAAACAAAUCUUAAUAGAAAUAAUGUAUAAAUCUUUUGAUCCUACAAAAUUCAGAGCCUACGUGUGCAUCACAAAUUUGUUCACUUCCGUAUAUUUAUCUAUUUGACUGUAAGAAGAAAAAGGGAAGAAGGUAGUUUCGUAAAAUUCCGUAUAUGACUAUUAUUGUUCUUAUACACUCCCACAAAACUGCAAUAACAAAAUUUACAAAGAUAUACAGAAAACGAUGAAUAACAACACAGUUUACGUACCAGAAUACCUUGCGUCUUACGGUUACAACAUGAGCCAGAGAUCUAGAAGACAAUGCUCGCAGUUGGGUUCCGCAUUUCAUCAUUGAACGAAAU